UCGAAAACCCCUGCGCUAAAUAAUUAGUAGCAAGCUACACUGGUGGGUGAAAGCGAGGAGUAGGCAAAAGUUUGGUAGAUGCAUAUGUACGGUAUAAAUGUAAAUAAAAACAGAACAGAUGUGUGAAAGGGAGAAAAUUGAAAGAUAUUACGUUUGAUUUGAGUGAUUGGAUGAGACUGCAAAAUUAAGGAAAGUGAAUUAAGAAACGGAGAAGAUUUAUAAGAUCGGUUGAGUAUUUACGGUAGGAGAAUUGAAUUUAAGUGGUUUCGAAUACAAUACAUAAUCACGAAGAAACCCUAUAGCAACGAAACCUGUAAAUAGAUCAGAAGAGGAGAAACUAUAGAAUUUUCAAGCUGCUGUAACCCUAAACACUGCUGUGG